UACAGAGGUCUCAAGCGUUGUUCGGAAUUACUGGGCGUAAAGGGCUCGUAGGCGGCCAACUAAGUCGGACGUGAAAUCCCUCAGCUUAACUGGGGAACUGCGUCCGAUACUGGAUGGCUUGGAUUUGGGAGAGGGAUGCGGAAUUCCAGGUGUAGCGGUGAAAUGCGCAGAUAUCAGGAGGAACACCAAUGGCGAAGGCAGCACUCUGGGACGUGACUGACGCUGAGACGCGAAAGCGUGGGGAGCAAACAGG
rnacentral:rRNA from 1 species